AUUGAACGCUGGCGGCAGGCUUAACACAUGCAAGUCGAACGAGUGGCGGACGGGUGAGUAAUGCCUUGUAAACUGCCCGAUCGAGGGGGAUAACUACUGGAAAAGGUAGCUAAUACCACAUACCAUCAGAUGUGCCCAGAUGUGAUUAGCUAGUUGGUGGGGUAACGGCUCACCAAGGCGACGAUCCCUAGCCGGUCUGAGAGGAUGACCAGCCACACUGGAACUGAUACACGGUCCAGACUCCUACGGGAGGCAGCAGUAGGGAAUCUUGCGCAAUGGGCGCAAGCCUGAUGCAGCCAUGCCGCGUGUAUGAAGAAGGCCUUCGGGUUGUAAAGUGCUUUCAGCUGAGAGGCGUUAACCACAGAAGAAGCACCGGCUAACUCCGUGCCAGCAGCCGCGGUAAUAC
rnacentral:rRNA from 1 species